GACGAACGCUGGCGGCGUGCUUAACACAUGCAAGUCGAACGGUAAGGCCCUUCGGGGUACACGAGUGGCGAACGGGUGAGUAACACGUGGGUGAUCUGCCCUGCACUUCGGGAUAAGCCUGGGAAACUGGGUCUAAUACCGGAUAGGACUCCGGACUGCAUGGUCUGGGGUGGAAAGCUUUUGCGGUGGGGGAUGGGCCCGCGGCCUAUCAGCUUGUGGGGGGGGUGAGGGCCUACCAAGGCGACGACGGGUAGCCGGCCUGAGAGGGUGACCGGCCACACUGGGGCUGAGAUACGACCCAGACGACUACGGGAGGCAGCAGUGGGGAAUAUUGCAAAAUGGGCGCAAGCCUGAUGCAGCGACGCCGCGUGAGGGAUGACGGCCUUCGGGUUGUAAACCUCUUUCAGCAUCGACGAAGCGAAAGUGACGGUAGGUGCAGAAGAAGGACCGGCCAACUACGUGCCAGCCGCCGCGGUAA
rnacentral:rRNA from 1 species